AUUGAACGCUGGCGGCAGGCUUAACACAUGCAAGUCGAGCGAGCGGCGGACGGGUGAGUAAUGUCUGGGAAACUGCCUGAUGGAGGGGGAUAACUACUGGAAACGGUAGCUAAUGCCGCAUACCAUCAGAUUUGCCUAGAUGGGAUUAGCUAGUACGUGGGGUAAUGGUUAACCUAGGCGACGAUCCCUAGCUGGUCUGAGAGGAUGACCAGCCACACUGGAACUGUGAAACGUGCCAGACUCCUACGGAAGGAAGCAGUGUGGAAUAGUGCACAAUGGGCGCAAGCCUGAUGCAGCCAUGCCGCGUGUGUGAAGAAGGCCAUCGGGUUGUAAAGCACUUUCAGCGAGGAGGCGUUACUCUCAGAAGAAGCACAGGCUAACUCCGUGCCAGCAGCCGCGGUAAUUC
rnacentral:rRNA from 1 species